UCCCGCCCCGCACCGCCGCUCGCUCGCCCCCCCACCUGCGGGACUUACUUCAUUUGCUUCACGAUGGUGCUUUUUCCCGACUCUCCGGCUCCUGUUGGAAAAGAGAUGAGCAGCAUUUGUCCUCAGCCAUUUGCCACUGCUGGGAGAGGAAAAAAAAGAAAAUAAGCUCUGUGUGAGAUCAAGAUUUCAACGCAUUACACACCAAAACAUUUGUUGCUAUUUACUUUUAAAAGUGCCCUUCUGAGGCUGCACGGCUACAGCUGCCAUCUGUUCGGGAUUACGCUUUGGAACUCCUGGUUUCUCUGCAAACCUCCCGCCUGGCGCUGCUCCGCUGGCAGAGGGAAGAGGUGGUGGGGACAGGGCUGGCUGCAAGGAAACAGCACCUUCACAGCUGGAGCUGCAAUCCUGGUUGUCAGGGGACCACCAAGAUGGAAAAAGAUUGCAGUUAGUGAAGGUGACUCCAGAGCAUUUUUUCCAAGAGUCAGUGAGAUAUUCAUUACGUGUUUGUUGAAACACCAGAGAGGGCCAUGACAGGAGUGUUGCUACUCAUCUCUGUUUAGUCAGACAGCAGGGUGAUGUGGCUAGCAUGUACCUGGGCCCCUGCAAAAACCUCUGCCCAGCUCAGCUCCUGAGCUGUGUGAGGUGGUGGCAGGACAGAGUUUUUCAAGGUGCAGGGGAAAAACACCAUCCCCUGAAGUGGCAGGAGCACAGCUGUGUCGUGGAGUCCAUCUCGCAGGCGGGGUUUGUGCAAAAGGUCUAAGCAAAGUCUCUGAGAUUCAUUUGGCAAGGAAAAGGAUGGACCUUCUGUUGCCAGAUGUGCAGGCCCUGCUCUGAACUUACAAUUUUCAAUGGCUCCAAGAGCUUUCACUAUUCCCUGCAGAUGGUGGGAAGCUGGAGAGUCCCACUGACCAGCUGCAAACCCAAUGGAGAUGCUGGCACAGCAUUUUCCUCCCUGCUUGGAUCUGCCUUACAAGCUCUAAUGGCAACAGAUGCUAAUUGUUAACAUAACAGUCGUCACCUUUGUGGCUGUAACUCUUCUCUACGUGUCCCUGUACCCUUAGCCCAUCCCAGCUCCCACAUUACUGAUAUGACAAAUGGUUAAGCUACGCAGGAGCUUGGAGAUGGGUCUGUGUUUACCAGCUUUGCAAAUCAAAAAAAUGAUGUAAUAAAGGCUGAACUCAGGGUAUUGCUUGAGCCUGUGUCGGAGAAUUCUGGCUGCCUGAAAGGGUCCUGCUUUUUGCAACAUGGACUUCUGAGGCCAAAUUAAUGAAAUUUCUGAGAGACACAAAAAAUGAGCACUGUUUUUCACAAGUAUUCAGCAAACAAGAAUUCUUGUUGUGCCAGGCUGUACAGAUGAAGGAAAUUUGUUUCUCUGGGCUGGAUUCUGGAUGCCUUUUUUGCAUUUUUUGACUUGUGAGCUUGGAUAUCUGGGGAAAGUCUGAAUUAUGGAUGAUACAGUAGCACGGUUCCUCUGGGUCCCCAGUAUGUGCUCUGAGUCCCCAAUACACUUCUGCUACAGAGGCUAAAUGGAUCUGCUUUUCUAGAUAGUCUCUUACUCAGAUUUGUAAUUACAGCCAGAAAUAAUAAAUUUUUUAGAAACUGACAGAGUUUAACCUCCCAAGUGGUGAGCAGUUUUUAAAAAUUGCCCUGGUGCAUCUCAGUGACUUGAGUAAAUUAGAGAAAUAUA